rnacentral:rRNA from 1 species
CGCGGCCUAUCAGCUUGUUGGCGGGGUAACGGCCUACCAAGGCAUCGACGGGUAGCUGGUCUGAGAGGACGAUCAGCCACACUGGGACUGAGACACGGCCCAGACUCCUACGGGAGGCAGCAGUGGGGAAUAUUGCGCAAUGGGCGAAAGCCUGACGCAGCAACGCCGCGUGGGGGAUGACGGCUUUCGGGUUGUAAACCCCUUUCAGUGAUGACGAAAAUGACGGUAAUCACAGAAGAAGCCCCGGCCAACUACGUGCCAGCAGCCGCGGUAACACGUAGGGGGCGAGCGUUGUCCGGAUUUAUUGGGCGUAAAGAGCUCGUAGGCGGCUCAGUAAGUCGGCCGUGAAAGCCCGGAGCUCAACUCCGGGACGCCGGUCGAUACUGCUGUGGCUAGGGUCCGGUAGAGGAGAGUGGAAUUCCCGGUGUAGCGGUGAAAUGCGCAGAUAUCGGGGGGAACACCAGUAGCGAAGGCGGCUCUCUGGGCCGGUACCGACGCUGAGGAGCGAAAGCUAGGGGAGCAAACAGGAUUAGAUACCCUGGUAGUCCUAGCCGUAAACGUUGGGCACUAGGUGUGGCGGAUUCAUUGACAUCUGCCGUGCCGGCGCUAACGCAUUAAGUGCCCCGCCUGGGGAGUACGG